rnacentral:rRNA from 1 species
CCUACGGGAGGCAGCAGUAGGGAAUCUUCCACAAUGGGCGAAAGCCUGAUGGAGCAACGCCGCGUGGGUGAAGAAGGUCUUCGGAUCGUAAAACCCUGUUGUUAGAGAAGAAAGUGCGUGAGAGUAACUGUUCACGUUUCGACGGUAUCUAACCAGAAAGCCACGGCUAAAUACGUGCCAGCAGCCGCGGUAAUACGUAGGUGGCAAGCGUUAUCCGGAUUGAUUGGGCGUAAAGGUAACGCAGGCGGUCUUUUAAGUCUGAUGUGAAAGCCUUCGGCUUAACCGGAGUAGUGCAUUGGAAACUGGGGGACUUGAGUGCAGAAGAGGAGAGUGGAACUCCAUGUGUAGCGGUGAAAUGCGUAGAUAUAUGGAAGAACACCAGUGGCGAAAGCGGCUCUCUGGUCUGUAACUGACGCUGAGGUUCGAAAGCGUGGGUAGCAAACAGGAUUAGAUACCCGGGUAGUC